GAUUUCUGACGAAACUGCUAGCUGGCCCGCCACGCAAGUGUGUGAGUGCCGGCUUGGCGUUUGUCAUCCGUUCGAAUGAUAUGCGUGCUGCCCUUCACUGGGUUGGCGCUGCAUGUUUUCGAUCUUUUACUUUGAAAAAAUUAGAGUGUUUCAAGCAGGCAUGUUUUGCUAUGAAUACAUUAGCAUGGAAUAAUAAUUUAGGACUUUGGUUCUAUUUUGUUGGUUUCUAGAACUCGAGUAAUGAUUGAUAGGGAUAGUUGGGGGUGCUAGUAUUCAGUGGCCAGAGGUGAAAUUCUUGGAUUCACUGAAGACUAACUUAUGCGAAAGCAUU
rnacentral:rRNA from 1 species